rnacentral:rRNA from 1 species
GACGGAGGGAGCUAGCGUUGUUCGGAAUGACUGGGCGUAAAGGGCGCGUAGGCGGCUUGCACAGUCAGGCGUGAAAUUCCUGGGCUCAACCUGGGGACUGCGCUUGAGACGUGUGGGCUUGAGUGGGGAAGAGGGUCGUGGAAUUCCCAGUGUAGAGGUGAAAUGCGUAGAUAUCUGGAGGAACACCGGUGGCGAAGGCGGCAUCCUGGACCGGCAUUGACGCUGAGGCGCGAAAGCUAGGGGAGCGAACAGG